rnacentral:rRNA from 1 species
UACGUAGGGUGCAAGCGUUAAUCGGAAUUACUGGGCGUAAAGCGUGCGCAGGCGGUUUUGUAAGUCUGUCGUGAAAAGCCCCCGGGCUCAACCUGGGAAUUGCGAUGAAGACUGCAAGGCUUGAAUCUGGCAGAGGGGGGUAGAAUUCCACGUGUAGCAGUGAAAUGCGUAGAGAUGUGGAGGAACACCGAUGGCGAAGGCAGCCCCCUGGGUCAAGAUUGACGCUCAUGCACGAAAGCGUGGGGGAGCAA